UACAGAGGUCUCAAGCGUUGUUCGGAUUCAUUGGGCGUAAAGGGUGCGUAGGUGGUGAGGUAAGUCGGAUGUGAAAUCUCGGAGCUUAACUCCGAAAUGGCAUUGGAAACUACCUCGCUAGAGGAUCGGAGGGGAGACUGGAAUUCUCGGUGUAGCAGUGAAAUGCGUAGAUAUCGAGAGGAACACCAGUGGCGAAGGCGAGUCUCUGGACGAUUCCUGACGCUGAGGCACGAAAGCCAGGGGAGCAAACGGG
rnacentral:rRNA from 1 species